rnacentral:rRNA from 1 species
GACGAACGCUGGCGGCGUGCUUAACACAUGCAAGUCGAACGGAAAGGCCCUGCUUUUGUGGGGUGCUCGAGUGGCGAACGGGUGAGUAACACGUGAGUAACCUGCCCUUGACUUUGGGAUAACUUCAGGAAACUGGGGCUAAUACCGGAUAGGAGCUCCUGCUGCAUGGUGGGGUUUGGAAAGUUUCGGCGGUUGGGGAUGGACUCGCGGCUUAUCAGCUUGUUGGUGGGGUAGUGGCUUACCAAGGCUUUGACGGGUAGCCGGCCUGAGAGGGUGACCGGCCACAUUGGGACUGAGGUACGGCCCAGACUCCUACGGGAGGCAGCAGUGGGGAAUAUUGCACAAUGGGCGGAAGCCUGUUGCAGCAACGCCGCGUGCGGGAUGACGGCCUUCGGGGUGUAAACCGCUUUCGCCUGUGACGAAGCGUGAGUGACGGUAAUGGGUAAAGAAGCACCGGCUAACUACGUG